rnacentral:ncRNA from 14 species
CCUAUUUAUAGAAACUGUGAAGUAUAUCUUAAACCUGGGCACUUAAAAGAUAUAUGGAGUUAGUAGUGCAACCUGCUAUAAAUAUA